GGACACGAUUGUCACUCAGACACCAUAUACUUACUCCAUCUGGCUCUGUCAGGCAGGCACGUGGUCACAGGGUGAAGACAGUGGAGGAGGUCGUUGACCAACCACAGAAUCAGAACAAGAGCCUCUGGGGACUAAGGGCAGAAUAACAUCUGCUCUGUGCCAGGCUCAGUCCUCAGCAAUUAUAAGUUUAACUCACUCCACGAUCUGUAGUACUGAGCCGUUUUCUCUGUUUUACAGACAAAUAGGUUUAGUGAGAGAAUUUGAACUCGGAAUCUGACUCCACAGUCAGGGUUCCGAGCCUUCGCUCACAGCAUCAAGGCACAUCUAUCCUGGAGUGAGAGUCCAGGACAGAGGGAGGAGUCGGAGAUGCCUCCAGAGCUGAUGUCUCGAACAGGGAGGGGAAAGAAGAGCAUCCCCAGCAGAGGGGACAUGGCAGAGCUGGACUAUGGGGACGCCUGGAGAGUCAGGGUCUUCCAGCACCCAGCAGCCUACAGGAAGCAUGUGACUUUUUAUCCCAUGGUGACAACAGGGUGACUCUGGAGCAAGUAAUUGGUGAAGAAUGUAACAUGGACAGACGUGAGUGUUUAGGAGGGUAUGGUGGCCAGGAAGGACAUGGUGGGACCAUGGAGCUGCCAAGCAAAAGGGUCAUCUGGACAAGGAUGGAGAUGAGAAAGGAGCAGGACUGUGGGACGGGAUGGGGCAGUGGGCAGAGUCAGAAGUGCCCAUCAUGUGAGUGUGAGCUGAGAGCAUCACAUUCAGAAAGGGACAUCCACAGACUACAGAGGUGCCAAAGUAGGAUGAGCCUCUUCCAGUGUGAUAUUCCUAGGCACCCAGCUAUCUCCCCAGCCUAGAAAUUUCUCUCUUCACAUCCAUCAUGGUAUCUGAGUUUCCACUCUGUCUGGCACUGAUGUCCAAGUGCCUGGAAGACUGAGAAAGCAACUGCUUUAGAGAGAGCCAAGCUGUCAGAAAGAAGUGGGGGAGAACCUUGGUGGAUGGAUGUAGGUGCCUUUUGCACAUCUCUUACAACUUGUCCUCACCUCCUACUGGGAAAGACCAGAGACUUGGGAUCUUGGGAUAAGAGUCCUUAAAGAGCAGAGAGCUUAAGUGGUAGAUCGAUGGGGCAAGUGCUUACUGCACACGCAUAAGGAGCCACGUCAAGGUCCCAAAAACCUGUGUAAAGGCAUGGCAGUGUGCAUCUAUAAUCCUAGGCAGUAUGGCGGAUGGGAACGCAGUCCCCUGGGGCUCACUGGCCAGAUAGUCUAGCCAAAAUGGUAAACUCCAGGUUCAAUAAGAGACACUGUCUCAAAAUAGAAGGGGAAGGGGCUGGAGAGAUGUCUCAGUGGUUAAGAGCACAGGCUGCUCUUGCAGAGAACCUGGAUUCAGUUCCCAGCACCUACAUGGCGCUCACAACCUAUGUAACCAGUUACAGGAGUUCUGAUGCCCUUUUCUAGCCUCUGUGGGAAAACUGCACACAAGUAGACACAUAUACAUGCAGGCAAAACCUGGUCUGGAAUUAGCGAAGUUCAAAGACUCGAGGCCUCAGACACUCCACUACCACAGGGCACAGAGUGCAUGGGCAGCUGCAGCUACAGCAGCUGCAACAUUGGAGCUGAAAAGCCCACCUGACCACACACCCAACAGACAGGUGAACCACACUCUGACCACACACCCAACAGACAGGUGAACCACACUCAGACCACACACCCAACAGACAGGUGAACCCACACUCUGACUACACACCCAACAGACAGGUGAACUACACUCAGACCACACACCCAACAGACAGGUGAACCCACACUCUGACCACACACCCAACAGACAGGUGAACCCACACUCUGACCACACACCCAACAGACAGGUGAACCACACUCAGACCACACACCCAACAGACAGGUGAACCCACACUCUGACCACACACCCAACAGACAGGUGAACCCACACUCUGACCACACACCCAACAGACAGGUGAACCCACACUCUGACCACACACCCAACAGACAGGUGAACCCACACUCUGAGCACAGACCCGACAGACAGGUGAACCACACUCAGACCACACACCCAACAGUUAGGUGAACCACACUCUGACCAUACACCCAACAGUUAGGUGAACCCGCACUCUGACCAUAGACCCAACAGAAAGGUGAACCCACACUCUGACCAUACACCCAACAGUUAGGUGAACCCACACUCUGACCAUACACCCAACAGACAGGUGAACCCACACUCUGACCACAGACCCAACAGAUGGGUGAACCCGCACUCUGACCACAGACCCAACAGAUAGGUGAACCCACACUCUGACCAUAGACACAACAGAUGGGCAAACCUGACCCCAGGUGGCUGGAACUAAUAGAAAGUACAAAAGAAAAUAAAUUUAAGUCUGUCUAAAACACACAGAAAAGUAAGAAGCUAAAAAGUAAAAGACGUUAAGAAAGAAAAUCUCAAGAUGUGAAAAGUAGAGAUGUUGGGGAAAUAAAAUCGUAGAAAUUGCCAGGGGGUUGUGAUGCACACCUUUAAUCCCAGCACUGGCAAGGCAGAGGCAGGCAGACCUCUGUGAGUUCGAGGCCAGUCCGGGCUACAGAUUGAGUUCCAGGAAAGGCACAAAGCUACACAGAGAAACCCUGUCUUGAAAAACAAACAAACAAACAAACAAACAAACAGAAAUUGAAAUGAUCUCUAAGAAUUGGAUUGAAUAUUGGGAUGAAUACAGCCAAGAAGAGGCUUGGUGAAUUGGGAGAGAGAUUAAAGAAGGCAAUUGGCAGUUAAAACCCCGUGCUGGCUAAUUUUACAUCAACCUGACAUAAGCUAGUGUCACAUGGGAAGAUGGACCCUCAGUUGAGAAAAUGUCUCCCUUAGACUGGCCUGUGGCAAGCCUACAGCGCAUUUUCUUGUUUGAAGAUUGACGCAGUAGGGCCCAGCUCACUGUGGUAGGUGCCACCCUUGGGGAGGUGGUCCUGGGAUGUGUAAGAAAGCAAGCUGAGCAAGCCACGAGGAGCUAGCCAGUAAGCAGCACCCCUCCAUGGCCUCUGCACCUGUUGCUGCCUCCAGGUUCCUACCUUGAGUUCCUGUCCUGACUCCUAUGAUGUGGAAGAAACCCUUUCCUCCUCAAGUUGCUUUUGGUCCUGGUGUUUGUUUAUCACAGCAAUAGAAACCCCGACUAAGACAACCCCAAACAUGCAUUUCUGUAGAUUUCAAGGGUUUAAGUCACGUGACAGUGGAAACCAUUAAAAUAUUUGAUACUGAGUAGACAGCAAGAGUCCCACAAACAAAACCUGUGGGGUCACAGCCAACUCAGUGCUUACAGGUCAACUCAUAGCUUUGAAAGAUUUUAUGUGAAGAAAGAAGAGUGGAGACUAAAUAGCUAAGAAACCAGGACAAGUAUCUUUACUUACACACACACACACACACACACACACACACACACACACACACACACACACA